CCCACUGGAAGCUGGAUCCUGGCCUUGGGUGCAGGGUGGGUGGAAACAGCAGAGACCCCGGCGCAGUUGCAUCGCUGGAAGUGGGGUCUGCAGUGCUGAUGGUGUCGGUUGGAGUGCUUGGAGUCCUCAGCGAGCACUAGGAGCAUCGAUUGGCGGAGGUACUCAGUCGGAGUGCCAGCGUUCCGUCACAGCUCCAAACUCCCGAACUGAAACCUCACGAAUAGCUGCUAGCAGCUGAACAGGAAAAGCACCCAAGCGGCUUACACUCCUGGCAAUCAGUCUCUAACAGCAUACAGUAAA